AAAAUACAGGGCGUUUAAAUUGUAAAAUGCGAGUAAACUAACAGCUUGAAAAUUUAUUUAAUCACUCUGUAUAACUUAGGUAAAAUAUUCUUCAUUUUUUUAUGUUUGUCAGAGAGAGGUAACUAAAAGUUUUCUCAAAACUCCAGGCCUCCAUUUUUAAAAAUGGCGUAGUUGAAAAAUUGCAGCGUUUAAAUAUAACGGGUGAUCAAAAAGUUUUCAGACUGGAGUUGGCCAUGGAAAUAUUCGUCAUGUCUUUGAUUAAACUGUAACAGUCAUGCAAAACCGUUUUUAUUGACAUGAAAGGUUAUGCAUGACUUUUACAGUCAUGCAAAACCAUUUGUCAUACAAAGACAUGACAAAUAUUUCCAUGGCCAAUUUUAACCUGAAAACUUUUUUACAAGUGAUCUAUUUAAAGAUUAUGACCAAAGUUUAACUUUUGCAUAUGAAAUGAUAUUUACUUUUAUGUAUUUUUAGAUUGUGUAUACGGUUUUUUUUUUUUUGUAUUUGUAUUUUUAUGGGGAAAACCGACAUUUUUAAAAAUUCACAGCUCCGCCAUUUUUAACAAUGAAGAUUUGGAAUUUUGCGUAAGACUUGUUGGUGCUCCUGACAAUAAUUUAAAACUAAAAAUUGGCGAUGAGGUCGAAAAUACAGGACGUUUAGUUUGAAAAAUACGAGACAAUUUAAUCACCCUGUAUAAAUUAUUUAAAAUAUUCUUUUUUUUAUGUUCGUGAGAGCAAGGUAACUGAAAAGUUUUAUAAAAAUUCCUUUUUAAAUAUAGCGGAGUUGAAAAUUUUUAACGUUUAAUAUACAAGGUGUUCCGUUUAAAAAUUAUGACCAAAGUUCGAUUUUUUAUUAUGAAGCAAUAUAUUAUUAUACUUUUAUAAAGCGUUUUUUGAUUAACACUUCACGAUAUUUGCGUUUUUAUGGCAAAAAUUGUCGUUUUUUAAAAAUUCACAGUUCUACUAUUUUUGAAAAUCGAGGUUUGAAAUUUUGCCUAAAACUUGCUGGCGCCGUAAGACAACGUUUAACCCUGUUAAUACUUGUAUUGUUACAACCGCAAACUGUCAUUUUCUUAUCCUUUUCUACUCGGACACACUGUAUUUUAUAAUUUCUUUUUUUGAGCUAACCCCAAAGUCAAAUUUCUUCUAAAACCAGAAUUCGGGUUUCUCCUGACAGUAAUUAAAAAAAAUGUCGAUGAGCUCCAACAUACAGGGCGUUCAAUUUGUAAAAUGCGAGGAAAGUGACAGUUUGUAAAUCACCCUGUAUAAAUUAGAUAAAAUAUUCUUCGAUUUUUUAUGUUCAUGAAAGCAAGGAAACUAAAAAGUUUUAGAAAAAUUCCGUUGUAAAUAUGUAUGGGAGAGUUGAAAAUUUUAAAAAAGUUUAAAUAUACAAGGUGUUCCAUUAAAAAAUUAUAUACAAAGUUGGGUUUUUUUGUAUUUUUAAUAUGAAACAAUACAUAAUAUUAUAUAUUUAGAUACUUUAUAAAGGCUUUUUUGUUUUUUUUUUGGCCAACAGUUUUCACGAUAUUUGCAAAAAACAGUAAUUUUUAAAAAAUCACAGCUCGACUAUUUUAAAAAUUGGAGGUUUCAAAUUUUGCGCAAAACUUGUUGGCGCCUUAAUACAUUGUUUCAGCAUACUAAUACAGAAUGAUUAAAUUCCCAAAUUGUCAUUUUCGUACCUUUUUUUGGUGGGACACUCUGUAUUUUACAUAUAUUUAUAUAUUUCUUAUUUAGUUUCUAAGCAAAAUUUCUUCCAAUACCAGGUUUGGUGGACUUUUCUCUAAUAAAAGAAUAAUUUCAAAAGCACUGUCACGGUAGGCUCGAAAUACAGGGUGUUUCACCUGAAAAAUGCAAAAAACUGACAGUUUGUAACUUUAAUCACUCUGUAUAAGUUAAAAUAUUCUUCUUUUUUUUUUCGUUUGUCAAAGCAAGGUAACUAAAAGUUUUCUCAAAACUCCAGGGCACCAUUUUUUAAAAUGGCGGAGUUGAAAAAUUUCGGUGUUUGAAUAUACCAAAGUUCCAUUUAAAGAUUAUUACCAAAAUUGUACUUUUUAAUAUGAAACAAUACAUAGUUUUAUAUAUUUCGAUCUCUUAUAGAGUUUUUUAUUUUUUUUAUUAUUAUGGAAAAAAUAGUCAGUUUUAAAAAUUCACAGUUCUACCAUUUUGAAAAUGGAGGUUUGAAAUUUUGCGCAAGACUUGUUGAUGCCUUAAUACAUUGUUUAAUCACCCUGUAUUAAUAUACAGGGUGAUUAAAUUCGCAAACUGCCACUUUCGUACCGUAGGACACCCUGUAUUUUAUAAUUCCUUGGAAGUAGUCUCCAAAGAAAUAAGAGGGUGUUCCAUUUAGAAAGUGGAAGAAAACUGUUAGUUUUGUAAAUUUAAUCACCCUGUAUAAGUUAAAAUACUCUUCAGUUUUUUAAGUUUGUCAAAGAGAAAUAACUAUAAGUUUUUUUAAAACUCCAGACCUCCAUUUUUAAAAAUGGCGGAGUAGAAAAAUGUCAGCAUGUAAAUAUACAAAGGGUUCCAUUUAAAAAUUAUGACCAAAGUUGUAUUUUUUAUUAUGAAACAAUAUAUACUUUUAUUUGUUUUUUUAUAUACUUACACGAUAUUUGUGUCUAUCGGAAAAAUUGUUAUUUUCAAAAAUCACAACUCCGCCAUUUUUAAAAAUGGAGGUCUGGAAUUUUGCGCAAAACUUGUGGUGCCUUAGUGCAGUGUUAGGCUUAUUAAUACAGGAUGAUUAAAUUUACAAACUGCCAUUUUCUUGCCCUUUUUUAAUUGGACACCCUGUAUUUUAUAAUUUCCUGGAAGGAAGUAGUCCCGAAGUAAAAUAUCUUCUAAUACCAGGAACUUUCAAAAAAUCCUUUGCGAUAAGGUCGAAAAUACAGCUGUUCCAUUUGAAAAAUGCAAGAAAACUGACAGUUCGUAAAUUUAAUCACCCUGUAUAAACAAGUUAGAAUACUCUUCAGUUUUUUAUGUGUAUUGGAGCGAGGUAACUAAAAGUUUUCUCAAAACUCCAGAUCCAUUUUUAAAAUGACGGAAUCGAAAAAUUUCAACGUUUAAAUAUAACGGGUGAUCAAAAAGUUUUUAGAUUAAAGUUUGCCAUGUCUUUGAUUAAAAUGCAAAUGUCAAAAAUCCAAAUUAUUGAAAUACGGAUGAGGUUGCCCAUGACUUUUGCAGUUUAAUCAAAGACAUGACAAACAUUUCCAUGGCUAACUCUAAUCCAAAAACUUUUUGAUUACUCGCUACAAAGGGUUCCAAUUAAAGAUUAUGAACAAAAUUAUAUUUUUUAAUAUGAAACAAUAUAUUAGUUUUUUAUAUUUAGAUCCUUUAUAAAGGGUGAUUACGUUCGAAGACUGUCAUUUUUUAAUGGGACACAUGUCUGUAUUUUAUAAUUUCUUGGAAGUAGUCUCCAAAUAAAGUAUCUUCUAAUACCAGGUGGUUUCAAAAAAGCUUUAGCGAUACGCCCGAAAAUACAGGGUGUUCCGUUUGAAAAGUGCAAGAAAACUUAUAAUUUGUAAAUUUAAUCACCGUGUAUAAGUUAAAAUAUUCUUCUUUUUUUGUGUUUGUCGGAGCGAGGUAGAUAAAGUUUUCACAAAACUCCAGAUCUCCAUUUUUAAAAAUGGCGGAAUUGAAAAAUUUCACCGUUUAAAUAUACAAACGGUUCCAUUUAAAGAUUAUGACCAAAAUUUUGCGCAAAACUCGUUAUGUCUUAGUACAGUGUUUACGGUUAUUUAUACAGGGUGUUCCAUUUGAAAAAUGCAAUAAACUGACAAUUUGUAAAUUUGAUCACCCUCUAUAAAUAAGUUAAAAUACUCUUCAGUUUUUUAUUAUGACCAAAGUUGUAUUUUUUAUUACGAAACAAUAUUUAGUUUUAAAUAUUUAGAUUUUUUAUGGAAAAAUUAGCCAUCUUUAAAAAUUCACAACCCACCAUUUUUAAAAAUGGAGGUUUUGAAUUUUGCGCAAAACUUGUUGGAAACCAUAAUAUAGUAUUUAAAUUUAUUAAUACAGGGUGAUCAAAUUUGCAAACUCACAUUUUCUUACCCUUGUAUUUUAUAAAAUUUGUUUUAAAGUGAUAAUUUAAUUAAAAUAUGUGUGUGUGCAAUUUAUUUUUUGGUUAAAAAGUGUUUCAAAUUUAUCAAAAAGGUAACCAAAAAUUAGCAAUAUAAGCAAUUACCAAAGUGUGAAAAAAAUAUUUUCGUGUAUUUUUAGUAGUAAUUUGGUUUUUAUGUCUGUGAUAGUGUUUUGAAAAGAAUAUUUCGGAAAGCAAAAACCAUAAAUAAAACGUCGAAUAUGUUUUUUCCGCAUUCGUGAAGUACCAUUCGUAGUAUUUUUAAGACUAUACCAAAGAUUUGUUUCAAGCUUUAUUUGUCUGCCCCAGUACGACUUCGCCCCCAGACAGUAUUACCAAAAACGACUUUAGUUAUAAUUUUUCGAGUGAACUUGUUCGUCUCUGUAUUUUUUUCCGGCCUCAUUGCCUUCUACCACGCCCGAAAAAAAUCCAGCGACCCCAGCAGUUACUUUAGUAACUCCAUAAUAUUCGACACUAAGCUUAGACGGCAGCGCACAAUGCUUGUUCAGGUCCGAGACCACAAAAAAUAAUUUGGAUGUUGUAGCAGCUCAAGUUUUCUUCCCAAUCAUGAGAAUCUCGAUCCUUUGUCGAAUCGAACGGAAUUCUUGCACGCCUCGACAAAGAACCGUCAAUAGUUACCUUUAAGUUUUUAGCCGAUAUUUUUAUAAUCCUAGCAUAAAAUGUGAUAAAUUUCUCUUCUCGUCUCUUGGGGAUUGUGUACAAAAAGUUCGAUCGGCGAGAGUGCAGUCCUAGUUUUUGCAGCUAAUAAUAAGAAGGACCAAUUUGAUAUUGGACAUGUUUUCUUUUUUGAGUUAAUAAAACUGUACGAAGUA